rnacentral:lncRNA from 1 species
CCUGUUCCGGUCCAAAACACACACAAGCUGUGCUUUUGAACACAAGUGUGGAGGUGUGGAGCAGCCGCAGUUGCAACGCUAUCAGUUGACAAUAGGCGGCAAUUCGUCUCAGUCCACAGUCUCGUUACAACACAGGACUGCGCCAGCCUGCACACUGGGUGGAACCUUGGCAAUGGCCGCCUGGCCGGCCUACUACCAUUCUACAAAUCAACCUGUCAACACGUCACGGUCAGCAACGCACAAACACUUAUCGCCACAUUCCAACUUCCAGCCCAGUACUGCCGCUGCUACCCUCAACCUCUCCGCCUCCUCCUCCAUCUGCAGUCGCAGCACCAGUGCCCAUUCACCACAUGUCCUCACUCACUGCCGUCUGCUAUCACCUGCACCAGUGCCCACUCACUACAUGUCCUCACGCUCACUAUAUUGUCGUCUUAUUCGUUGCCGCCGCCCUCGCCCACAUCCUUGCCCGCGGCGUGCUCGGUCUUGCCAGCCAUCUCCUGGAUGCGGCCGCCGCCCAGAUGGCUGCCCACCUGUGUACAUGUGUGUGUGUGUGUGUGUGUGUGUGUGUGUGUGUGUGCGUGUGUGUGUGUGUGCGUGCGUGCGUGCACGUGCAGGGGCGGAGGGAGAGGUGGGGAUAGGGGGCGAGCGGCAAGAGAUAAGCGCUGACUUAUCGCAGCGCAGUGGAGAUAAGUCUAGUUAUUGCGACGUAACUGCCGUGUUGCGUUAGAGUCACGCACGGCGCAGGACGCUCGGGUACGUGCCUGUGCAUGGGGCCGAACCGAGCUGGGUCUUGUACGCGUCAGGAGCACACGGCGCCUUAUCUGCCGUUGUGCUUCUGUACUGUAUUUCGGAUCGUCCCUCUGCCGGGACGGUGACCUCAGUGUGUCGCACUUAAACGUUCCCUACAUUUCUGGACUUUCUUUGCAAUCCUAUACCUGGUUCUAACUAUACUUGACCAUGUAUGGACCGAAUAAGCGUUUAAUAUAUACUCAGACGGAGUUGCAGCGUUUUGUUGCGCGAUCCUGCUCAAUGGAACCCCUUAGCUUGAUCACGCUCGCUCUCUGAUCGUAAGGGAAUGCCCUUCGAAGCUUCUCUGGCGCUUUGAACCACGCUUUGGUUCGGGGGCCGCAUUCGGGAGCAAAUCGGAGCAGAGCGGAGCUUUCAAGCGGAGCAAAGGCGCGCGAAGCGUUGCGGACAAGGCGUUCGGCAAGUCACUGAAAGCAAAAGGGCAUGCACAGCUGUGCGGGCGGGCUACUUGCUUGCCAUGCGCGGUCCUGCUUGCCGUGCCUUCGUGUCUACCCGUCGCUUUACAGUUCACAGCUUUGUGCAAUACCUUUCCACAUCUUCCAUUGUGCCACCCCCACCUCCCCAAGACCCUCAGGACUUUUGGCGCGGUACUUCUCCUGUCUGCCUAUCCAGGCCGCAGGGCCCGCGUGCCCUUGGGGAAAGGGCGUGUGUGCCGUUGGGAUCCGGCCUGUGCGCCGCAAGCAACGGGCUUUGCGCCCUUGCCUUAUGGACAAUGGACGGCAUACGUGCCCUUAUGAUACGGCCUGUGUGCCGCAAGCAAUGGGCUCCGCGCCCUUGCUUUAUGGACAAUGGACGGCAUACGUGCCCUUAUGAUACGGCCUGUGCGCCGCAAGCAACGGGCUCCGCGCCCUUGCUUUAUGGACAAUGGACGGCAUACGUGCCCUUAUGAUACGGCCUGUGUGCCGCAAGCAACGGGCUCCGCGCCCUUGCUUUAUGGACAAUGGACGGCAUACGUGCCCCUAUGAUACGGCCUGUGCGCCGCUAGCAACGGGCUCCGCGCCCUUGCUUUAUGGACAAUGGACGGCAUACGUGCCCUUAUGAUACGGCCUGUGCGCCGCAAGCAAUGGGCUCCGUGCCCUUGCUUUAUGGACAAUGGACGGCAUACGUGCCCCUAUGAUACGGCCUGUGCGCCGCAAGCAACGGGCUCCGCGCCCUGGCUUCAUGGACAAUUUACGGCGUACGUGCCCUCAUGAUACAGCCUGUGCGCCGCAGGCAACGGGCUCCGCGCCCUUGCUCCAUGGACACUUCACGGCGUACGUGCCCUCAUGAUACGGCCUGUGUGCCGCAGGCAACGGGCUCCGCGCCCUUGCUUCAUGGACAAUGCGCCGCGUACGUGUUCUUAUGAUACGGCCUGUGCGCCGCAAGCAACGGGCUCCGCACCCUUGUUUUAUGGACAAUUCACGGCAUACGUGCCCGUAUGAUGUGACCUGUGUGCCGCAAGCAACGGCUUCGCACCCUUGCUUUUGGGUAAUAGAUGGCAUACGUGCCCUUAUGAUACGACCUGUGUGCCGCAAGCAACGGGCUCCACACUCUUGCGUUGUGGAUUAUAGACGGCAUUGAAAUGCUUACGUGCCUUCGUUGUACAUGCCUUUGCGUUGUGGACAAUGUGUGGUCUGAGCGCCACGUUCGGAUACGGCGUGUGUGCCGCCAGCAACAGGCUUUGCGCCUCGCAUCAUGUGUCUUGCGAUAUGGCCUGUGUGCCGCAUGCAAUUAUGCUGCCUGCCCUGUCGUUAUGGACGCUUCGACUUGUUGCGUGCCCUGCUGCGUGCCCUGUCGCAAUACGCCUUGAGUGUACCGUGCACGGCAAGCCUGCGCCUCGCUAUUGCUUCGUGUUGACAACGGAGCGGGCUUACGUGAUCAUGCGUCACCCUGUACGUCUUGAGGUCCGCACGCACAUCAUACUAUCACGCGGCACCACCCUUGUAGUUUGGCUGACGCACCCCAAGCCAACCUAUAUGCAUUCGAUGUGUGCGCUAGGCCCAAGUGCCGAAUUUGUUUUUCCGGAUAUUUCGCCCUCAGUGAGCGAUGUGGAGUUUUGUGCAGUUCGGCCAGCAUGCUAUGCCCAGCCAAUAACAAUACCGCAUGACGCAUAACUAUACCGCAUGACGCAUAAACAUGCCUUCGUGCCCUGCACCAGGCAUCGGACGCUGUGUCACGCAGUGAGCCCGACCCUGCGCAACCAACAUUUUGUUGCGAGAUACGGUCGGAGCUGGGAUUACAGCCUGCCUGGUGGGUUUGGAUGGCGCCCGUGUGUUGGGCUGGGCUGUUGCUGCUCGCGGUGGGGCCCACCACCAAGUCACGGCACCCAUCCGCCCUCCCCUCUUGUUGGCCCACCCGCCUGUACACAUGCCAGUCACCCGCUCGCCAUCCUGUGAAAGCGGGUAGCCGACUUGGCAAGCGCUUUUCCUGACACUUGGCGCAGGUUUGAGUGGGAUACCAGAAUGGUCUGAAUGUAGUUGUUGGAUAACCAGUACACUGCGGUGUGUAGCUGGUUAGCGGGAGUGCCGUGCAUGAAACACGCUACUCGACCCGCCAUGCCCGCGCGAUGGUACCACCAACCGUUCAACCCAGAUCCAUGCCGGGGUAGCAUCGACCCCACAGUCAGACUGAUAGCUCCUAUCCAGGUGUCAGGCGCCAUGUAUGUAUCUGUGGACGCGUCAAGCUGGCUUGUGCCGUAGCGUUGGCCGCCUGUAUGGCACGGCAUCUGUGUCACGUUAUGGCCUCAUGCUUACCGUAGUCACGCGGCUUGCGUGCUGUGCGGCACGCUCCCUGCCAAUCCUUCAGGACAUGUAUGCAUACAUGUUACUUCGUCAGAGCCAUAGCAGGGGCAGCGUGUUCUGUCAAUGCCUCAUGAACCCAGAGACCCAAGCCAACGUACGCAUUAGUUCCGCAACGCACGUCAAUGCCAACUGUAUGUGUCGCCUGCCCACUCGCGAGUGGACGCCUAGGGAACCAACCUUGGUUCCUUUCAGCCCCGGCCUUACUUCACCCGGCGGGGCAAUUACUUAUCACCGAAGUGCUAGGAGCAGUGUGCUAUAUGUCAUUACUAUUAAGAGCGUAUGGCGACACAGGCUCACAUGUGGGUAGCCAGGCUUGGCAGGCAUCCCAACUCAGCCCGGCCUCCUCACAGCAGUACCACGACGUGCCCGUACGUGGUCGAGUGCGGAGUUUGGCUGCCGGCGUGGCUGUAUCAUCUCUCACAUUGGAUGACCCAUCCGCCACUGCUGUUCACUACUGGCACGUCCCUCGAGUCGCUCACCCACCGGCUCCGCCCAGCGUUCGCUCCCUUUGGCUGGGCCGGGGCCCGUGGCGCAUCCAACCCGCCAUCGCGGCCCCGAGUGCUCCUUAUUUCCUCCCAUCACUACGCCUUCUAUCACUAUAGAUACAUUGCGCGUUCCACGCGUGCCGGGUAUCCUUCACCCCUCCGCGCCGCUCGACCAGGCCAGCCUUGCUGGGGUUGCUGAGGUGUUACCCUUCAUGUUGCCCUCCCUGCUAUUACGGUACACCCCACAGCUGCCGUGGCGUACGGUAUCGGCACGUACGGGACAUUGUGUGCAUGCAUCCCCGCGGCGUUUGGAGGCAAACAUUCACGUGCGCGCCUGUCCUGCGUCCGCCGGGGUGAUGCUAUCUAUGGGUGUACCUACUGCUUGAUUGGUAGUGACUCUUAUGCAAGACACUGCAAAUCUCAAGCAUGGCACCUAGCUAGCAAGAAAGAAAUUAGUGUUCGUGGCCAUGCUGCACGGCUGGGCAUGGCUGCCCGCAUCCUACACCACGACGGCGCGGGUGAACGAAGGGCAGGUUGCCGCGCGUGACUCGCGUACGUAAAACCGCUCUAGUGUUGCAACUCGCGCCUUCUCCUGCGUGGCGCAUGUUGGCUAGCCUGUCCCAGCUUCGAGUCACGACGUUGUUAUUAUUCCCAAGGUUGUUCCGAGCAGCCUACAACGUCAACACGUGUUAUGGCAUGGCCCUGGGGGCCGGUAGAGAGUACCGAGGUCUCCAGUGGUUCGUGCCAACACGUGCCAACACGCACUGUUACCUUUCCUGGGCACACGGACGGCCACAGCUGCCCACAAGCCACACACCUGAACAAGGAUGCAUGUGUUUCCCUGUAACGCCCCGGCGUCGUCUGCAUGGCUGGCGCACGCGGGAUAACGCAUGUGUGUUUCUGUCGUGGCCAUUGGUGCACCUGAUACGUUUGUGAGUCUGGUAUCAUGGCCCUUGCAAAGCCAGUCGUGUUCCUAUUGCUGCUUGUCUUCUGGUAGUGACCAUUGGCCGCCCAUGACCGACGGAGUGUGGCGCUGUCAGGCCCCGCGUUGGCGUCGCCCUGCGCCUGCAGCAGGUGCCGGCGGCGCCUCCGGCGGCGCUCAUCCCCGCGUGAUGGUGCUGCUCGUGCAGCCAAUAUCCCCAAGCACGAAGCUCGUUCUAUUGACCGCUGUUGAGUGUGCAACUAGGACCGUACGUUCGUGCGCAAGCUAGGCGAUGGGCGGAGCGCUCCGCGGUGUUCGAGACACAUGAUUUCGGUAGCGCAAGGGCACGAACGCCACCGCCAUCACCGCCGACCGCACCUUGGUUUGCAUGACCGGCCGUUGGGCCAAGCGCUUUGCGAGAAGAGCUGCAUACGCGAAGCCAAUCAAGCCCAGCCACCAGGGCUGCCGUCGCCCGCACCAUGACCUCCCGGCGUUGAGGACUACUACCAAACUCUGGCAGCACUUUCGGCCACUAGUGCAACCUCAACACGGGCGGGCUGGGGCGGGCACGGCGGACUUGGUGGGGUUAUCGGGAGCUGCGAGGCCGGAGGUAGGAGGCCGCUGAGGGCCACGAAUGAGUUGCUAGGCCGCUUGAGGCAUGAGUGGAGGCUAUUGUCGGUUUGAGAGAUUGGGAUUGUCGUUUGGGGCCGUGGCGGUUUGUAACGCUACACGGCAGUAAGGAGUCAAUAAGCGCUGACUUAUCGCAGCGCAGUGGAGAUAAGUCUAGUUAUUGCGACGUAACUGCCGUGUUGCGUUAGAGUCACGCACGGCGCAGGACGCUCGGGUACGUGCCUGUGCAUGGGGCCGAACCGAGCUGGGUCUUGUACGCGUCAGGAGCACACGGCGCCUUAUCUGCCGUUGUGCUUCUGUACUGUAUUUCGGAUCGUCCCUCUGCCGGGACGGUGACAACCCACCCGCCCCCCCUGGUGCCGCCGCGGAUUAAUGUGGUGGCACCCGUGGGCGCUGCGGCGUGCGUGGUUGUCUGGACUCUGCUGCUAUCAGGCACUUCAUACAUGCGACACACCCAGUACUGGCAGCACUUUCGGCCACUAGUGCAACCUCAACACGGGCGGGCUGGGGCGGGCACGGCGGACUUGGUGGGGUUAUCGGGAGCUGCGAGGCCGGAGGUAGGAGGCCGCUGAGGGCCACGAAUGAGUUGCUAGGCCGCUUGAGGCAUGAGUGGAGGCUAUUGUCGGUUUGAGAGAUUGGGAUUGUCGUUUGGGGCCGUGGCGGUUUGUAACGCUACACGGCAGUAAGGAGUCAAUAAGGCGGGGCUGCAUGGGUGGUGGUGUGUGCACGGGGGCCCGCGCGUAUAUGGGAGGUGCGGCGGGCACUGGGUGGGGUGGAACAAAGCAUGAGGGUGACCUCGUCACGUGGGUCCUCCACCCCCAACACCCCCUGACUAGCCCACCGGCCGACCCACAUCAACCGCACCGCACCACACCACACCGCACCACACCACAAGAGCCACGCGACAAAUUCACGCGCGUUGUGCCUUCAGACACGCCAUACACGCACACACACACACCCACUCAUGCCGACGCCCCCGCCCCCACCUUGACUCGCUCCAUGGCGUCGCACUCGUCAAAGUUCUUGCCGUACAGCUUCUGUGGCACGUGUGUGGUGGGUGGGGUAGCGGAAAGCGGGGGAGGGUUAUGUGCCCUAUCCCGAGCGCUGGGGCGAGGGUAGGGGCAAGGGGUGGGGCACGGGCGGGAGCGGACGCGGGUGGCGGGCUUGCAGUGACUGUGCAAGGCGACCCGCUGUGCUUGCCCAUGACAUCAGUUCAGUGCAAUGGCUCCAGGCUAUACACAGUAGAGCAGGUCUGUGCUAACACUGCAGUGUGCGGCGAGAGCGGGCUGCUGGCGGGACCACGCCCGGUGGUGAGUCACCGUCACCGUCAUCACACGCGCCCGCAACCGCUCCCGCCGCCGCGUCCGGCGCUAAGCCCGCUCUCGGAGCCGCGCCCAGCACACGGCGCCCGCCAGCCGCCGCCCUUGUGGCUCCCUCAUGGAUCCCGCAGCCUCCCCCGCUACCCCAGCGCCCGCCCCGGGGCCCCCCCGGCACCACUCGCCUGGGCCAUCUCGUUGCGCUCCUGUUCGGAGGCCGGCAUGGUUGCUGUGGAUCUUUAAGAAGUUCGCUUCUGUGUGUGUUUGGGUUUUUGAGUUGCGAAGCUUGUGCGUGUGCUGCGCGCUGCGGUUGCAAAGUUGACGGGGCCCCGUGGGGGUUUUGAACCCGCCGGCCGCAAUGGGGCAAUGGGGCAGCAGCCGAUCCCGAUCCCGCCAGCCUGUCCCAUAGGUCUGAAACACUUUCCGAGCCCCUUCACAAAACUGUUAGCCCAAACUCACAAGCAGCGCGACCUCUCUACCCAACUAUAACUCAGCAUUUCCGCCGAGCCCGCUAGAAUGUCGCAGGCGCAGGAGCCCGCUGCUUCGCAGCACCAGUCGCAGAACCCCGUCGUCUCCGCGGUGAGUGGGCCGCUGAUCAUGAUCAUGUUUUGCUGUUGCUGGCGGCCCCAGCAGCAGGGCAGCAGCAGUCGAGGUAGCAGCGGCGGCGGCGCCGAAACUCGGGCUCCCGGGCCGGCCGCCCAAAAGCGCGCGCUUUUCCGGCGCUGACUAGGCUUUGGACUUUGGCCUGCCUGCCUGCGACCGCAACCGCGACCCACGCAUUAAGGCCUCGCGCUUCCUGCACUGCGCGACUGCAAGCUUGUCCGUGGCCUGCAGCUCGCUAGCGCCCCGAGCAUAUGACCAGCAGCAACUCGCGCAACUGGGUCCCCGUCCUUUCACCCCCCUGCUCCCCUUUCGCUCCCCUCUCCGGUCCUCCCGUUUCCCAACCCUCUCUCCUUCCCAACCCUCCCCUCCCCACCUUCCCCUCCACUCCCCCACAGCCGCAGUCUCAGCAGCAGCCCACGGACGCGCCCAAGGUGCUGGCGGGCGGCAACGUCGACCCCACCAACCCGCUGGCGGGCGGACACGCUGGGCUGGAGAACCCCGAGGCUGCCAAGAAGGCCGAGGACAUGGGUGCGUGUGGGCGUGUGUGUGGGGGGGGGAGUGGGUUGGGGUGGGGCGGGGGGUUGUACAUGCCCGAGCUAAACGAAGGGGGUGGUGGUAGGUGGUUGGGCAGUGCUGGGCAGAGGAGGAGCGCGAGACCGCGAUUGGCCAGCGUUGCGGAGGGCGGGACUGCGGCCUCGACUUCCCGGCUGCGUGUGCCAUACCCAGGCUGCGUGCACUACUGCCAUGCCACCCCAACCCCCACACCCACGCCGCUAGCCAACCCGUGGCCCCCGUUUUCCGCACCCCACCCCCCCUACCUGGUUGCCGCAGGCGCCACCAUCCCCAGCCAGGGCCCGCCGCCGGAGCUUUCCGCCGAGACCGCCAGCGGCGGCACCCAGUCGGGCACCCAGCCGGGAACCCAGUCGGGA